GCUGCCAUGCCUUUGCUCUGACAUGAUGGACUCUGAUCUUCUGAAAUCAUAAGCUCAACACUCUGUUUUAUAAGUCACCUUGGCCAUGGUAUCUUAUUCCAGCAAUAGAAAAUAAAUCAAGGUAAGAGGUUCCCAGGAAGAGCAGAGCUGUCUCGUCAUAGAGCUUUUGGCUUCUUGUUGACUUCUUCUCCAGACAGAAAGAACGAACUUGUGCCAUAAACUCCACCAAUCCUUUUGACCUGAGGACAACUCCCCUCCAGGGAGGAACACUAAACACCAGUAACUACACCCACCCCUGAGACCCACCUAUGCCACAAGGUUCACAUGUCUUACACCUGCCUUUUUUCUCUAGGUAGAGAAACUCCCCACAUCAUAUAAUAAUCGAAACUAUAAAUGUACAAAACACACAAAGGAUAUUAAAAGCUGCAGGAAAAAAAAAGAACAAGUCUCAUACAAAGGUAGACUCAUCAGAAUAACAGCCAACUUUUGAAUGGAGACAGUGAAAGACAAAAAGGUUGGGCUAGUGUUCUAUGAGUUAUGAAAGACCACAGGGGCCAGCCCAGACUACAAUACUCACCAGAACUGUGAGUCAUAAUCAGUAGAGAAAGGAAAGCUCUCCUUUAGAAAACAGAUGAAAGGGAUGUAUAGCUACUGAGCUAGUUGUACAGAGAAGACCAGAAGGGAUAUUUAGAUCUGAAGAGAAGGUUAAACAUUCCCAAGGCACAAGGAACAAGUAACUCCAGAUUUUAAAAUGUCAAAUAGCACACCACCAAAAAAUCAAAAUGACAGGAAUUAAUAAUAUGCUAUUCAGUAGUUACCUAUAAUAUUAAUGGUUUUGGUUCUUCAGUGAAGAGACACCAGGCUAAUAAGUUGGAACAGGAAACAAUAUUUAUCUUUUUUUCUGCUUUCAAAGAAACAUAUGUCAUGACUAAUAGAAGACAUUUCUUUAAGUUAUUCCAAGCCAAUGGAACUAACAAACAACCAAGCAUACAUAUUCUACUUUCCAAUAAAACAAACUUCAAGACAGAUCUAACCAGAAGAGGUGGGAGGGGAUUUUAUAGUCAUUAAAGGAAAAAGUCACCAAAUAAGAUAUUACAAUCUUAAACAUAUAUACACCAAACUUAGGAGU
rnacentral:lncRNA from 1 species